UACGGAGGAUGCAAGCGUUAUCCGGAUUCAUUGGGCGUAAAGCGUCCGCAGGUGGUGUGGUAAGUCUGGGGUCAAAGACAGAAGCUCAACUUCUGAGAGGCCCUUGAAACUGCCAGACUAGAGGGGGGUAGGGGUAGCAGGAAUUCCCAGUGUAGCGGUGAAAUGCGUAAAGAUUGGGAAGAACGUCGGUGGCGAAAGCGUGCUACUGGGCCCCUCCUGACACUGAGGGACGAAAGCUAGGGGAGCGAAAGGG
rnacentral:rRNA from 1 species